rnacentral:rRNA from 1 species
CCUACGGGAGGCAGCAGUGGGGAAUUUUACGCAAUGGGGGAAACCCUGACGUAGCGACACCGCGUGAGCGAAGAAGCCCUUUGGGGUGUAAAGCUCUGUCAGCUGGAACGAAAACAAUGACGGUACCAGCAGAGGAAGCAUCGGCUAACUACGUGCCAGCAGCCGCGGUAAGACGUAGGAUGCGAGCGUUGUCCGGAUUUAUUGGGCGUAAAGAGUUCGUAGGUGGUUUGUUAAGUUUGGUGUUAAAGAUCGGGGCUCAACCCUGGGACUGCACUGAAUACUGGCAGACUCGAGUGUGGUAGAGGCUAGUGGAAUUCCCAGUGUAGCGGUGAAAUGCGUAGAUAUUGGGAAGAACACCGGUGGCGUAGGCGACUAGCUGGGCCAUAACUGACGCUGAGGAACGAAAGCCAGGGGAGCGAAUGGGAUUAGAUACCCCAGUAGUCCUGGCCGUAAACGAUGGAUACUAGGCGUAUCGGGUAUCGACCCCUGAUGUGCCGCAGCUAACGCGAUGAGUAUCCCGCCUGAGUAGUACGGCCGCAAGGUUGAAACUCAAAUGAAUUGACGG